CCCAAGUGCCACUCUUAACGGGAUGGCUUUUCAUUAGUGUAAAGAGCUUUUGGAAUAAGGGCUGGGCAAGACCGGUGCCAGCCGCCGCGGUAACACCGGCAGCUCUAGUGGUAGCAGUUUUUAUUGGGCCUAAAGCGUCCGUAGCCGGUCUGAUAAGUCUCUGGUGAAAUCCC
rnacentral:rRNA from 1 species